AAACAUCAAGUCUAUGUAUGAUCGCAAUCUAUCCAACUCUAGUUUCUAGUUGAUCUCGAUAAGUGGAAUUUUUUACUGGUUAGGUUUAGCUAAUUGAUAUCUUAAAAAAUAUAUUGGAUAAGGUUUUCAACAAAAUAAAAAAAAAGAAAAGGGAUUUCUAAACCUCAUAAAACAAAAAAAUCUACAUACGUAUGCUGGAAUAUGCUAACAUACGUAUGCCUCAGUAACACCGUCACCGAGCUGCGCGUGUGUAAUCCUCAAAGCUGCAUAUGAUAGAUAUCGGGCCCACUUCCCAAACCUAUACAUACUCGACUCCUCCGAGCGAUCAGCACUUCUCCCAUGUUUGCUCAAGAUCUGGCUGCUCGCGUUCGAGCUCGAUCACUUCGCCUCUCUGUUCUAUGAGAAAGAAGGGGGAAAUGGAUGGAAAUCGUCACAUCUGAUAUUUCUGAACCGCAUCCAGGGAAAAGACGAACUCUUUCUGAGACUUGGCCAAGCAAUCAACGAACCAAGGUCGGAGAUCGGGGAUAUCCAACCCAGUAGCUCACUGAAGUUGCAGUCAGGUUGAUAUGUUCUCGAUGGAAAUCGUGGAGGUAAUUUGACUCUCAGGCUAUAUUAUUUGAACAUUUCCAUCCUAUUUUUCAAAUGCCAUAUCCAAAAAUUACUUACCUUUAUUUGUUUUUUAAUUAUUGUUUUAGUAGUUGUAUUGCAUUUACCCUAUAUAUUGACUGUUAAAUGACAUCCUGAUGUUUCAUAUAUUUAGUACUGAUCAAUGCUAGAGAAAUUGAACAGCUGAACCUUUUAAAAUAGCACCAACAGGACUAUAAGAAACUUGAAACUGCAUAAGAAACCGAACCAAAAAUGCAGACUUUUGUUUCAUGUGAUACAAUGGUCUGUUUUGUAUGAUAAAAUGGUUUCGUUUUGUCGGAAAAAAGAGCUCCCAGAUCGAUUGAUUAUAUUUCCAUCUAAAUUUGGAUAAAAUUGAAACUGCACAAACCCGUAGCACAAAGAUGACAUGAUGGUGGCAACCAUAUUAGUUAACAUUCUGUAGGAUGAGGAGGAAGAAGUUAUAGUUCUAGCAAUUAUCAUUUUUUAAGGUCUACCACACCCAUGAGAUAUAUAAAUGUUGAGCCAAUGUCAGAGGUUUGACCAAAGGGGAAGGAAAUUGAUGAAAAUGGAUAUGCGGACGAUGAAAUUUUUAACGAUGACAAGGUAUAACAAAUGGAGGUGAUCAUAAUUAAAUACAAAAAUAUGUCUAUGAAGAGAAUAACUGAGAUGGAAUAGAACUAGUUCACAUACAGACAACCAUAAAAAC